rnacentral:piRNA from 1 species
UCAUAGGUUCGCAGUCCCGAGGUCC